UUACACAUGCAAGUCUCAGCCCGCCCGUGAGAACACCCUUUCAGCCUUCACCAGGACAAGGAGCUGGUAUCAGGCACACUCCCACUUUGCCCAUAACACCUAGUCUUACCACACCCUCAAGGGUAAUCAGCAGUGAUAAAUCUUGUGCAUAAGCGACAGCUUGACACAGUUAAAGAAAAGAGAGCCGGCUAACCCGGUGCCAGCCGCCGCGGCUACACCGUUGGGGCUCAAGUUGCUAGUUACCGGCGUCAAGCGUGAUUAAAGGCCCCCCCCCCCCAAUUAAAGUUAAAUUAACACUUGGUAGUGACAAGCUUGUUGUUAAGAAAAACAUAAAUGAAAAUUACUCUAAUUUUAUGCCUUGAAUACACGACAACUAGGAACACAAACUGGGAUUAGAUACCCCACUAUGCCUAGUCGUAAACAAUUUAUUUACAUCUCCAACGCCAGGGUAUUACGAGUCAAACUUAAAACCCAAAGGACUUGACGGUGUCCCACCCACCUAGAGGAGCCUGUUCUAUAAUCGAUAAUCCCCGUUUUACCUAACCAUUUUUUGCCUAAUCAGUCUGUAUACCUCCGUCGUAAGCUUACCAUGUGAACGCCUAUAGUAAGCCCAAUGGCCACCCGCCAACACGUCAGGUCAAGGUGCAACUUAUACCAUGGUAAGUAAUGGGCUACAAUUUCUAAGAUAGAACAAACGAAAGGCUGUUUGAAACCCCAGUCACGAAGGAGGAUCUAACAGUAAAAAGAAAAUAGAGAGUUCUUUUUAACCUGGCACUGGGACGCGUACACACCGCCCGUCACCCUCUUCAACAGUCUUUUCUCGAUAACUA
rnacentral:ncRNA from 1 species